CAAUAGCGUAUAUUUAAGUUGUUGCAGUUAAAAAGCUCGUAGUUGGAUUUCGGGUGUGAACGACCGGUCCGUCUUUGAUGUGUACUGGUUGGUUGCGCCUUAUUGUCGGGGACGUGGUUCUAGCUUUCAUUAGCCGGGACACGGAGUCGGCAGCGUUACUUUGAGAAAAUUAGAGUGUUCAAAGCAGGCUAUCGCUCUGAAUACUACAGCAUGGAAUAACACGAUAGGACUCCGAGCCUAUUCUGUUGGUCUUCGGGACCGGAGUAAUGAUUAAGAGGGACAGUUGGGGGCAUUCGUAUUCCGAUGUCAGAGGUGAAAUUCUUGGAUUAUCGGAAGACGAGCAUCUGCGAAAGCAUUUGCCAAGGAUGUUUUCAUUAA
rnacentral:rRNA from 1 species